GUACCCUCAAGCUCUGCUUGGUGUUGGGUGUUUGUUGCGUCCCUAGGACGCGACUCGCCUCAAAUGUAUUGGCAGCCGGCGUAUUGGCCUUGGAGCGCAGCACAAUUUGCGAGCCACAGACCUUUGGUUGGCGUCCACAAAGCUCAAUUAUCAC
rnacentral:misc_RNA from 1 species